UGCAAGUCGAGCGAACAGAUAAGGAGCUUGCUCCUUUGACGUUAGCGGCGGACGGGUGAGUAACACGUGGGUAACCUACCUAUAAGACUGGGAUAACUUCGGGAAACCGGAGCUAAUACCGGAUAACAUUUGGAACCGCAUGGUUCUAAAGUGAAAGAUGGUUUUGCUAUCACUUAUAGAUGGACCCGCGCCGUAUUAGCUAGUUGGUAAGGUAACGGCUUACCAAGGCGACGAUACGUAGCCGACCUGAGAGGGUGAUCGGCCACACUGGAACUGAGACACGGUCCAGACUCCUACGGGAGGCAGCAGUAGGGAAUCUUCCGCAAUGGGCGAAAGCCUGACGGAGCAACGCCGCGUGAGUGAUGAAGGGUUUCGGCUCGUAAAACUCUGUUAUUAGGGAAGAACAAACGUGUAAGUAACUGUGCACGUCUUGACGGUACCUAAUCAGAAAGCCACGGCUAACUACGUGCCAGCAGCCGCGGUAAUACGUAGGUGGCAAGCGUUAUCCGGAAUUAUUGGGCGUAAAGCGCGCGUAGGCGGUUUCUUAAGUCUGAUGUGAAAGCCCACGGCUCAACCGUGGAGGGUCAUUGGAAACUGGGAAACUUGAGUGCAGAAGAGGAAAGUGGAAUUCCAUGUGUAGCGGUGAAAUGCGCAGAGAUAUGGAGGAACACCAGUGGCGAAGGCGACUUUCUGGUCUGUAACUGACGCUGAUGUGCGAAAGCGUGGGGAUCAAACAGGAUUAGAUACCCUGGUAGUCCACGCCGUAAACGAUGAGUGCUAAGUGUUAGGGGGUUUCCGCCCCUUAGUGCUGCAGCUAACGCAUUAAGCACUCCGCCUGGGGAGUACGACCGCAAGGUUGAAACUCAAAGGAAUUGACGGGGACCCGCACAAGCGGUGGAGCAUGUGGUUUAAUUCGAAGCAACGCGAAGAACCUUACCAAAUCUUGACAUCCUUUGAAAACUCUAGAGAUAGAGCCUUCCCCUUCGGGGGACAAAGUGACAGGUGGUGCAUGGUUGUCGUCAGCUCGUGUCGUGAGAUGUUGGGUUAAGUCCCGCAACGAGCGCAACCCUUAAGCUUAGUUGCCAUCAUUAAGUUGGGCACUCUAGGUUGACUGCCGGUGACAAACCGGAGGAAGGUGGGGAUGACGUCAAAUCAUCAUGCCCCUUAUGAUUUGGGCUACACACGUGCUACAAUGGACAAUACAAAGGGCAGCUAAACCGCGAGGUCAUGCAAAUCCCAUAAAGUUGUUCUCAGUUCGGAUUGUAGUCUGCAACUCGACUACAUGAAGCUGGAAUCGCUAGUAAUCGUAGAUCAGCAUGCUACGGUGAAUACGUUCCCGGGUCUUGUACACACCGCCCGUCACACCACGAGAGUUUGUAACACCCGAAGCCGGUGGAGUA
rnacentral:rRNA from 1 species